rnacentral:rRNA from 1 species
UACAGAGGUCCCAAGCGUUGUUCGGAUUCACUGGGCGUAAAGGGUGCGUAGGCGGUCGGGUAAGUCUGGCGUGAAAUCUCCAAGCCUAACUUGGAAACUGCGUUGGAUACUAUCCGGCUCGAGGAAUGGAGGGGAGACUGGAAUACUUGGUGUAGCAGUGAAAUGCGUAGAUAUCAAGUGGAACACCAGUGGCGAGGGCGAGUCUCUGGACAUUUCCUGACGCUGAGGCACGAAAGCCAGGGGAGCAAACGGG